UCCCUGGUGGUCCAGUGGCUAAGACUCUGCACUCUCAGUGCAGGGGCCUGGGUUUGAUACCUGGUCAGGGAA
rnacentral:tRNA from 1 species